CAGGUAUACAAACUAAUAACAGGGAAAGGAAUAACCCCAAGCAUAGCUACUUUCAAUUCCUCGAUAUAUGGGUUCUGCAAAGCCAGAAAGUUAGACGAUGCAAGAAAGUGGGUUGACACUAUAUGUGCACAUGGGUUGAUACCAUCAGCGAGGACGUUCACAACUCUUAUGAAUGCGUAUGGUGAAGAAGGGAAAAUGCAAACUGUUUUUGAAUUGCUAGAUGAAAUGAAAGCAAGGGGCAUAGAACCAACUCAUGUCACUUACACAGUGAUAAUGAAAUGCCUCUGUAAAAGAAGGCAAAUGCAUGAGUCUAUUGAGAUACUAAAG
rnacentral:misc_RNA from 1 species